UACGUAGGCAGCGAGCGUUGUUCGGAGUUACUGGGCGUAAAGCGUGCGUAGGCGGUUUUGUAAGUUUGGUGUGAAAUCUCCCGGCUCAACUGGGAGGGUGCGCCGAAAACUGCAAGGCUGGAGUAUGGGAGAGGUAGGCGGAAUUCCUGGUGUAGCGGUGAAAUGCGUAGAUAUCAGGAGGAACACCCGUGGCGAAGGCGGCUCUCUGGAACGCAACUGACGCUGAGACGCGAAAGCGUGGGGAGCAAACAGG
rnacentral:rRNA from 1 species